rnacentral:tRNA from 1 species
CGCUAAGAAGCUAAAUAAGAAACAGCAUUAGCCUUUUAAGCUAAAGAUUGGUGACUCUUAACCACCCUUAACGA